rnacentral:rRNA from 1 species
CCUACGGGAGGCAGCAGUGAGGAAUAUUGGUCAAUGGCCGAGAGGCUGAACCAGCCAAGUCGCGUGAGGGAAGACGGCCCUACGGGUUGUAAACCUCUUUUGUCGGGGAGCAAAGAGAGUCACGUGUGACUCAUUGAGAGUACCCGACGUAAAAGCAUCGGCUAACUCCGUGCCAGCAGCCGCGGUAAUACGGAGGAUGCGAGCGUUAUCCGGAUUUAUUGGGUUUAAAGGGUGCGCAGGCGGAGGUGCAAGUCAGCGGUCAAAUUGCGGGGCUCAACCCCGUACUGCCGUUGAAACUGCAGCCCUUGAGGGCGCGAGAAGUAGGCGGAAUGCGUGGUGUAGCGGAGAAAUGCAUAGAUAUCACGCAGAACUCCGAUUGCGAAGGCAGCAUACCGGAGCGCAACUGACGCUCAUGCACGAAAGCGUGGGUAUCGAACAGGAUUAGAUACCCUUGUAGUC